GUGCCAGCAGCCGCGGUAAUACGGAGGGUGCGAGCGUUAAUCGGAAUUACUGGGCGUAAAGCGUGCGCAGGCGGUUUGUUAAGCGAGAUGUGAAAGCCCCGGGCUCAACCUGGGAACUGCAUUUUGAACUGGCAAACUAGAGUCUUGUAGAGGGGGGUAGAAUUCCAGGUGUAGCGGUGAAAUGCGUAGAGAUCUGGAGGAAUACCGGUGGCGAAGGCGGCCCCCUGGACAAAGACUGACGCUCAUGCACGAAAGCGUGGGGAGCAAACAGGAUUAGAUACCCCCGUAGUCCC
rnacentral:rRNA from 1 species